CGUGGUCCGGCAGUCACGUGCACCCGGCGGCUCAAGCUCUGCCGGGCCUGGGGUGCUGCGCGCCUGCGCAGUGCGGACCCUGGGAGGGUCGCCGGAAUCUGCAGUGCGGGCUGCGGGAAGCGGGAGGUUUGGGGACGGCUGUUGUAUCUGACCUGCAGCCGGGUCGCGCGCGGAAGCUUGUGCGCCUGGCACGUCCCUCUUCUUUUCCGUCGGAAAGCCCGGGAUGUGGUAAUGUCAGCCAGACUGUUCAGAGCCCUGGCCGGAUCUCACUGUAUUUUAUCAAAAAUACGUCAGUGCCAAAGACUUGUCCAUCGAACAUUAAGGCCACGGAAAGAAUUUGAGACUACAACAUGCAGCACCGUGAUGAGAAGUCAGAACUUGGAGUUGUUCUUUGCUGAGACAGCAGCUGGUGGUUUGAGUAAGUCCCCGGUCCUGGAAAUUAGUCCGAAAAUCUCAAAUACAAGCAUACUCUCUCCAUUAAAUGCUGCGCAUUGCCAGGAUGAAAAAAUGCACCUUCCAACCAGGAGAUCUUUUGGUACUCACAGGAAAGUGACUCACAGACCAAAUCUCUUAGGUUCUAAGUGGUUUAUAAAAAUAUUAGAGCGACAUUACUCAUCUCCAUCAACGGAAACACUAGUUCCUAAACAAGACCUUCCGCAAAUCAAGAGACCACUAAAAGCAUCGAGGACCAGGCAGCCAUCCAGGACCAACCUUCCAGUUCUGUCUGUGAAUGAGGACCUGAUGCACUGCACAGCGUUCGCGACCGCAGAUGAAUACCAUCUCGGGACUCUCUCUCAAGAUCUGGCCUCCCAUGGAUACGUUGAAGUAAACAGUUUGCCUAGAGAUGCAGCAAACAUUUUGGUGAUGGGUGUGGAACACUCUGCUAAAGAAGGUGAUCCUGGAACAAUAUUCUUCUUCAGAGAAGGAGCUGCUGUGUUCUGGAAUGUGAAAGAUAAAACUAUGAAACACGUGAUGCGGGUCUUAGAAAAGCAUGAAAUCCAGCCCUAUGAAAUCGCUCUGGUGCACUGGGAAAACGAAGAGCUUAACUACAUAAAAACAGACGAGCAGGGGAAGAUGGAGACAGACGGCAGUGCAAACAAGAUCGAGAGGCCCUUUUCCUCAGGGAGUUACCUGGCUAGUGGAAUACGAGAAAAAGAAUUCUUUCUAUUAAAGGAAGGGUUGGAAGCAGAACUUGAGGAAAAUUUGGAAGAGACGCCAGCUGUAGAAAGACGAGAUGAGGUCAGAGCUAACGACUACGAGCCAACAAAGAUACAGUACUUGCCUUGUGCCGGGUGCUGUUCCAGGGGACAGUCAAAACUUCACAGAGGGGAAAUCAGAUUAAAUUCAGAGCUAGAUAUAGAUGACGCCAUUCUAGAGAAAUUUGCUUUCUCGAAUGCUCUUUGUCUUUCAGUGAAACUGGCUAUUUGGGAGGCAUCACUGGAUAAAUUUGUUGAGUCUAUUCAGUCAAUUCCAGAGGCUUUAAAAGCUGGGAAGAAAGUGAAACUAUCUCAUGAAGAAGUGAUGCAGAAAAUGGGUGAACUCUUUGCCCUGAGACAUGGAGCCCUGGGAGCUCAAUCCCGUUAGAAGAACUUGGGCUGUACUAGGACUGCACUGCAAGACAUUCUGUGUGCGCCCAGAGAUCAUAACUAAUCUACGUUAAACCUACAUAAGGGAGCCCAGUAGAUGUUCUUGAAUGAACCUCUUACACUGAAAUAACUCCUUGAGCUUUGUCGGGUGUGCAUGGCAUCCCAUUCCGUCUUGGGCGCACAGAAAAGGAAAGCAAGAGGGAGAGGAGGGGAAUGACAACUAAGUGACAGCCGCCACCGGUGCGACAUCAUGCCGGCCAUUUUCAGAGACAGGAAGGAACGGUGUCUUAAGACUGACGAAGUACAUCGCUGUGUCAUUUUAAAGAAGUUUCUGGAAAGACACCGUAUAAACUUGAGUUCAGACUUCCUGAUCACUCCUGAUUUCUACUGGGACAGAGAAAACCUGGAACAACUUUAUGAUAAAACUUGUCAGUUCCUU